UUUCAUUGUUAUUUUGGUUGGCUGUGUUGUGGGAUAAGUGAAUUUUGAUUUUCUGAAUUUGGAAAUGGCCAUAUUACUGAUGCAUGCAGGUUUUUGCCAAAAGUUUUUACUUAUUUCCCACUAUCCUGCAAUUAAUUUCCAAAUGGAUUGGGUGGAUGAAUUACUCCCUGAAACUAGAAUAGUAUACUUGUACUUUAUAAAAGACAGCUGAGUUUUUGAAGGGAUAUAUGUCAUUCUGUAUUCUCUUUUGUCUUGCCUUUAAUGCCACAUCUGGAGUGUACCUACUGUUGGUCUUAGAGGAUUGAUACUUCUAUAGUGUUUCACUUGAAAGCUAGGAAAUAUUUAUCUAUGCUGUUUCACGCUUUCACUUUUAUGCUGAGAGCUAUUUGAAUUUGAUUUGCUUUUAGCUGUUUGAGAAAUAGACAGCCAAAGGUCAUUUUUGGUUGCAAGGUUAUAAAUAAAUUUUGAAGUGUAAAAUCUGAAGAAAGAUUUGCAUAGAAUGGAAAAUUAAUUGCUUGUCUUGUUAGUUAGUUACUUGUUUUUUUUUUUGCUUGUCUUGUUCGAACUAUUCUUACCAGUGCCGAAGUCUAUCACUGAAGUACUAUCAUUCAUUGCCACUAAAGUAGAUCACCGCAAAUGUCUUUGCCACCCUUGCAACUAUUUCACUUCUACUAGUGCUGUCCUCUCUGCCACUGCUGUUGACUAGUCAUCUUCACUGUUACACUGCCAUAAGCAAAAUAAAAGACCAUUUGGGAAGCCUGCCCUUUCUUAUUGCUUUUGCUUUGUAACUGAAACAAGCUCAAGUUGUUAAAUCUCAUUUCCAGAAAGCAUCGAAUGAAAUGUUGCCUAUUUGGCUUUUAAGCCUACUGUUAAGGAUUCCGGGAGGGAAAAGAUAAACUAGUGAUAUGAAGGAUAUGUUUGCAA